CGGCAGCCUGCUGCGGGCAGAUGUAAUGGAUGUGCGUGUCCAGACCGCCGGCGGUCACGAUCUUACCCUCGCCGGCGAUCACGUCGGUGCAGCUGCCCACAACCAUGCCCGGCGUCACGCCUUCCAUGACAUCCGGGUUGCCUGCCUUGCCGACGCCGACAAUGUGGCCGUCCUUGACGCCGAUGUCGGCCUUGAAGAUGCCCGUCCAGUCGACAACCAGCGCGUUCGUCACCACCAGAUCCAGCGUGUCGGCAUCGGACCGCCCGGUGGCCUGGCCCAUGCCGUCGCGCAG
rnacentral:sRNA from 1 species